rnacentral:misc_RNA from 1 species
GUGAAUCAUCGAAUCUUUGAACGCAAAUUGCACCCUCUGGUAUUCCGGAGAGUAUGCCUGUUUGAGGGUCAUUUUAAAUAAAAAUCGUCGUCGUUGCUUCCUUUCUUGGUGACGCACCGGAUUUAGGACCACUUGCCUUCGGUUAAGUGACCUAAAAUUUUGCAUGAUUUCUUUCGAACGUAUUUAAAUGAUUUUACGUACGAUUGCGAUAUCGAAUACUAGGUGUGACCAUCCUCCUGAUUCGCGC